ACUAAAAGAUCUGAAGGCCUAAACAAAGAAAUUAGAGCCCCUCUCAUCAGCUGCUCAAAAUCCCUCUCUGCUCAAAAUCUCUCUCUACUCAAAAUCCCUUAUGCUCAAAAUCCCUAAUAUCAGAAAAUGUGAAUCUUAUAUAGAUAGCUCCAUUUCUCAACUCCUAAUUAAAGGAAGAUGUUGGCUGCUCCAUUUCUCUGCAUCUAGUUACUGACCCAAAAGCUCAAAUCAUGAAUUCGUACAGAUUGUGUCAUCUAAGUGUAGUUAUUUGCUGAUUCUAAGUCUUGACCGAACUCUCAGCUAUAUAUUUUCCUGGUCCGAGAAAGCUAUGAGACGAGAAAUUGGGUUCUCUCCUGCUACUUUUAAGCUCCACUUUUACUCUAUUCAAGUUUUACAUGGCCAAACUUGGACGUAUUGAUCUGGUUAUGUUCGUGGAAAAGGAUAUGGAAAGAAGCCUCCUAAAAAGAGUAACAUUCAGCAGGCAAACAUAGAGGCCAUCAUGUCUUCUGCUAUUGAUAUUGUGCAUCAAGAGAUGCAAGCCGAGAUGGAUAGGAAGUUGCAAGAAGAACGUGAACAAAUGGCUGCUGAGUUGCGAAGAAAUAUGGAAAUUGAGUUGGAAAGGAAGUUGGCAGAGGAGCGUCAACACGCAAAUGCAGAAGCAGACAAGAGGAUCUCUCUAGAAGUGGAGAAGAAGAUGCAGGAACAAUUUGCUAGUUUCUUGACUAGAAUGCAACAACAACAACAGGGACAAGACACUUAAACAAUGGUAUCGUUCAAGAAUGGUGUCGCGCAAGGAGCAGUUACAAGGAACUUAAUAUUUUGUCUUUUUUGGGAUAUGUAUAUGCGUACAAUUACAAUGCACAAUGAAGUGUCGGGUAGUAUAUAUGUAAUUUACUUUUUAGUAGUGAUAAUAUUUAUAAUAUUCGGCUUGAGAAAUUCUUUUGA